UUUCAAUCCAAAGGUUCGAAUGCCUACUUAAUGACGGCGUGCGUGUCAACUGUAGCAUCAUUUUUACGUCAAGCAGAAGCACACUAUUUGGAUCUCGCAAGAAGCAAGUAAGCGCUGUCGCGGUGUUUUAGACUGACUACAGUUGAUUACUAAAUGCGUAACGGCUCUAGCCACUAAAUUAUUGCAGUACUCCGACGCCAGGAUUUGUGCGUUCAUAUUUAUAAUCACCUGCUUCGUCAGCGCAGUAGCUGCUGUACAAACGUUGUUGUUACUCAGGUUCCUUUGGAAUUGGAUCGGACGGGCUAUUUGUUGCUAGUUAACACGGUUGUUGUGGUCAUCCUAUGGCUGCAUUACAGUAUCCGUCACGCAUUUACUCUCACAGCAACGUUUCGUGUAUUUCUAGAGAAGAGCGCUUGGGUCUGAAAGCGAGUAACUGCAAGUGGACACUAGAGAUGUCGAGGAUGGCUAGUGGAGGGUGGAAAGCACGAUGGCGUCUAUAGAGAAGUUGCACGAUGGAACGGAUACAACCGGCGAUGGACGGCCGCAUGGGUGUCCGGCUGUGAGACGCCCGGUAGUUCCGACCUGACAGCGAUGGUGGCUUGUUUAUCCAAGAUGCAUGUCCUGCGGCUAGGCAAGCUUAUACAGCCUGCUCGGCAGACCAGUUUCUGCAGGCCAUAGAACUGUUGACCAGCUCUGCCGCUCCGGCCGUGAGAAACAGCCUGCUGUUCGCUCCCUCGGGCGCAACGAUCCUGAACUCCCAACUGUGCCCCCCUUCGCCCCCUCAUCCAGCUAUGGUCGGCCGAUCAGCCGGUGCUCUCCGCUCCCACUUAACAGAAGCACCCGAAGGAGAAGUUACAGUACACACGGUUGGCGUGCCGACAAUGCUCACAGAUUCCUGAAAUGUUCUUUACUGCAAGCAUAUUAGAUUGAAUGUAUCUCCACGCUUUCUUCUGCUGGCCCAUUGUCUAUGAUCAAUUCGUCGGACUAUUUCUUUUUUGGAUGCUUGCUUUUCUAGCGGGUUAAAAGGUUACCGAGCAGCCCAGAAUGUCCGUGACGCGGAAAGCGAAAACUCUGCAACUAA